UUUAAGGGUUGGUAGUGGAGGUGAUGGUAUCUUGUUAGAGAUUCCUGCAUACCUGAGGUGUUCUGAAGGAAACUUCAGAAGCCAGAGAUUUUGAGCUUCAGACUAAACCAAGGCAAAUUCCAGCAACAUAAGGCACUAUGCAAAACUCAUUGAAGAUUAAUUGAUUUGGAGGAGAAGGCAACAGAGAGAUUACAUCAUCUGGAUAUGUCCUAGAGACCAGCUUGUGGUACAGACGCUGUAGAAUACUGCCCUUCCUUCAGAUCCAUGACUGUAAAAAUAGAUGCAAUAUACAAACGUGAAUUUCUGCAGCGCAAGCUGAGGAGACAAAAUCCCUUUUUGGCCGAUAUAGCAUCUCAGCAUUAGGGCUGGUUUGUGCUUCUGUUAAUUCCUGAUACUUUGCACUGGUCUUUAGUAUGCAUUUGGUUAUCUGGUAAUAUUUUCCCUGGCACAAAAACACUGAUCAUCUUUCUAAUGGGGAGCAUAGUAAUUUGAAGCAUAUUCAUGUUUGUGCUAAAAGACCACAGUCGCAAAGUAUAAUCCAAAAGAUUGUUAUGUGAUAGAUUAUGCGUGACAGGAUUUAGGAAAAUGUCACAUAUCAGACACACAGGCCAACAGUAUAUAACAGGACUGCUGCCUCUGGCAGCUUGAUUCUAGCAGAUUUCUAAUCAUGUGUAUUUCAAGAUGAUAAGAGGCAUGCAAGAAAUCUUUUACAGCUUUUGAGGAGUACUCCAGACCAAAAUGAAGGGCAUACUUGGUUGUAUACAAUAUUGAGGAAAUUUUUGUACCAGCAAUAUUAAAUUUCACUGUGAUAACCCUUUUAUUUUUCAGAUACUGAGCAAACUGAAUUGUUUCAGUUUGGUUUUUGGAGUUUUAACAAAUUAGGUCUUACUGUUUCCUUUUCCUUUUUUCCCCCUCUCUGCUAACACACAGUUCUACAACUAUACUUUUGCAACCAGCACGUUUAUGCUUCCAAUAUUUAUUCUUCUUUCCUUCAUAACCCAUUGGCAGAAUACACAGUUCCUGGGAUCUGUUGGAGAUUAGAUUGUCUCUCCUUCAAGGUAUUGCUAGGAAAAACAAAUGCUGAGAAAAUCUUCCCCACUUAAAACUGAUGAUUCAUGCUGCUGUUUCUUCUCAUUUUCUUUGUUUUGUCUCUUGAUGCCAAACGUAUACCACACAGCAGAAGGAAGGGGGAGGACGAAAGAAAGAGGAGAAAUCUUGAUCUGCAUGGAAAGUCGUCUCUUAAACUCAUCUUCUUAAAAGAACAGAAACAUUCAACAGCUUCUUGCUCUGACAAUCAUACAAAUGCUUCCAAAUAUCUGCCAGAAGAAUGCUAACUUAUCUUUAUUUUUUUCUUUCCUUCUCCACUCUUUUUUUUUAUCAUUAUUAUUCAAACACAGCCUUGCAGGCAAGCUCAGAGAUUGCAGAAUUACAUAUGAGCUCUUAGGGCUUGGCCCAUGAGCAGCCUCUUUGCCCAAACUUGCUAGUGAUUUGAACUGGUUAACUCAGCUCUCAAAGAAAGAUAUAGAUGCUAUUGUAGUGUGAUUAUUUACUGCAAAACCUUUAGCCUGGAUUCCUUCCAUUUUGUGGCUUUCUGAUUUGCUGUCUAUCGGCCUAGGCCUGUCUUUGUGGAAAACAGAGCCCAAAUUUCCGCUGUGCUCGCUGACGUGUACUGCUUGUGUUAGCAGAAACAGUAUCUGCAAUUUGCUCAGUCUGAGACCCAGAACACAGAUUCUACCAGCUCAAGCUACUGGUCGAACAUGGUCAUUAUCACAUUUCUGGCAUAACUGCUAGCAGAUGCUUUAGAAACAGCAAAGGCAAACAACCUAAUGCAUCUGGCCAAACGGGAAGUAGCACCAAAUAGGAAGGAAAAUUAUUUUCUGAUAUGUCUUUUGAUCAAUGUGUGAUUUGAAAGAAACAACGAAAUUGUCUUGUGCUUAAGAAUAGUUACAUCUAUGCAUUUCGUGGAGGCCUUUGAUGUAUUUUUCUGGAAGAUAAAAAUCAUCAGAUAAUCAGAAAGAGAUAUACUUCCGAAAUGGAACACAAGAUAUAGUGACUUCUUUAAAAUUCACUUCAGUGCCUUAUGAGAUUCAAUGGGAAAAAAAAAAUGUAUUAGAAAACAUCUGAAUUUAAAAAAAAUCACUGAUUAAAAAAA
ensembl:lncRNA